AGCUUUCUCACUCGCUCGCUCACACUCUCUAUAGUCUCUAACGGAGGCAGAGCUGGGAGUUCAGCUCGGUUCACCGCCAUCGAAUGCUCGCUGCCGUCCCCGCGCGUCUCGCCGGAUCCUCCACGUCAUAUGCUCGCGUCUGGCCUCUCUCCUCCAUCUGAGCUCGGCUGCUUGUCCCCCUCUCGCCUCCGCGUCUGCUCGAGCGGUGCUUCCUGCUCGUGUCGUCGCCGCGCCUCCUUCGCCUCUCUCCCUCCUCACAUCUCUGCUCGAGCUUUGUGGUCCCUCGCGUGCUCGUUGCCGGCGGUCUUGCUCCCUAUCGCUCAUAUUCUGCUAGUUCUCCGCGUUGUAAACAUAAGAAGGACUGCCGCAGUGCCGCCAGCUUCUCCGCGUCACAUCCUUGCUCCUUUUCCUUCAUGCUCUUCUUUUUGGAAGACCACCGAAGAGUGGUGAGCUGCUAUCAUUUCCACCUCAUCAUGCCUCAUGCAAUGCUACUCAACGGCGAUGAUCAGCUACAAAGUUUGUAGCUACCACCACAAGCACGUUGCUUUCCUCAGCCUCAUACUCUUUGGGUUUUCACUUCUCCAUCACCUUUGCCACGGACCUUGUGAUUCAUAUGAACAUGUCCCGCAGUGAGUUUAUCUUUCAUUGGAUUCAAGAUAUCUUAGUGGGCUCAAUCUAUCUAAACUAAGGUAGACUACAAAUUUCAUGGCAGGCAGUGGCCUGACGUCUUUGGGUCGUGUGAAGCUCACUGAUUUAGUUCCUAUGGAAGGGUUGCCAUCUGAUGCCUAUAAAAUAUCAGUUUCAAUUUUGUCACAAUCAUUGGCUCAGUUUUCAGCUGUCAUUGUCCAAUUUCCAGAAAGUGACGGGUCUCUUCUAAGAUCUGGUUUAGAAUCUGCCCGCCUCUAUUUCCAUCAAAGAGAAUCAUACCCCCCUGCAGAUAUAAUCCAUACCGCUGAGUCUCGGGAGUGGUGCAAAACAUCUGGUUAUUAUGCAGAUCCUCAUUUGUGGCAAGAAAGCUAUGAUUAUAGACCGGGAUUAACUCCUUCAGAACCAAACAACUCCAUUGAGUUCCCUCCUGCUGGUUUGCAAGAUAUGUUUGCUUCAUUUGGAAAAGCAGCAAGGCAUAUUCUGGAUGCAAUUAGCUUCCAUUUGAAUUUGCGUAGCUCUCCGUUUGCUGAAAUACUGGAUAAUGUUCCCCUUAGAAAUAGGGAAAUUUCUUCUUCAGUCUUAUCUGUUUGCUGUCAUGCUAGGCCAUCAUUUCAGGAGCCACAGCAUCAUAAUAUAGCUACUCAAGAGGAUGGCCAAAUUGUUAUGUAUCCUGACCAGGAUCACCAUGUUGAUAAAGGCUUGAUAUCUAUUGUCAAGUCUGACAAGGCUGGUUUACAGGUAAGAGACUUUCAAGGUCGAUGGAUUCUUGUGGAUGGAGAUCUUGGACCUCAGGAAGCUGUUGUUUAUCCUGGUCUUGCUCUCUAUCAAGCCACUGCAGGGUAUGUAAGCCCUGCAUUGCACAAAACUGAGAUUAACAUGGAGCCUAAUAUGUAUGGACGAUGUUCUUUAGCCUUUAAACUUCUGCCUAAAUCAAUGGCCAAUCUUGAUUGUUCAGAAAUGAGAGCGGCAGGUUAUGGAAUUGAAGCUCAGUUCCAGCUCCCCGUUCCAGUGGAUGAUUUUAUGCAAAGAUCUCAUCAAACUGAUCAUAUUUUUAAUAGGCCUGGUUUCCAGUGCUUCAAUUUUCCACCGACAAAUGAUGGAUCCGGGAAGACUAUAAGGAGGAGGAAGCAAAAUCCUAAAAGCAAACCUCUGCCACCUUCCAAGCGACUAAGGCUUGAGGCACAACGAGUUUUGAAAGAAAGGGUCCAAGAUAUUGCGGAUAAAAAAGGCAUCAAGCUGCGUUUCUGUAAUCUCAAGGAAUGUGAAAAUCACAUCCAUGCCUUAGACAGCCCAUGUGCGAAUAUACGAUUGGAGAUAGGGUGGCCACCUGGAGUUCCAUUUGUCCACCCCCAUGAUUUGCCUAACAAGGCAAAGUUGGGUUUUCUUGAGGCAUAUGAACCUGGUUGGACAGAAGCCCAUCAAAACUUGGACAGGCUAGUCAACACUCGGCUAACUUUAACAGUAACUCUCCUUUUGCGAUUUUCGUGUCUGGAUGCUCAUGCAUAUUUUAUCUUGUACUGCAUCUGUCAAGUAGCGGGAGUGACCAGAACCAAGCAAGGGAUGAUAUUCAUAACUAGCCCAUCGUCGUCAUUAAUUAACCCCUCUGUAGUCGAAGAAUCAAACUUCUAGCAACAUAGAAGCAUGUUGAGAACAAUUAUUAGAUGUAGAAAGGAGCAAUGGACAUUAGGAAUGAAAGUGUUGGAUCAAUGCAAAGACCAAUAGAAAGAUAGACUCUUAUCUCUCUCUUGGUUUGUGCAUGUGUUUCCAUGGUUUGUCAGAGGAAUCAAUCACCCUGAUUUCCAGCAUAUGGGGAACAUGUGAUCAGGUUGUGAGGUUCUUGGGAGGAUAAUAAGCUUUUAGUUCUCAAUGCUUUGCUGGAUCGAUUUUUGGCUUGGUUCAAGUUUUCAAGUGGCGAAAAAUAAAUGACCAUUUUGUAUCUUCCUAAACUAAAAAGUGGGUAUCCAAAAUAUUUAACUAUUAAUUAAUAUGUACUAACUAUGUAAAACUAUUUCACACAAUUAAUCAAUGAAAUUCAAAGAUUUAAAUGAUAAUAUGACGGUAUAUAUAAACAAAUUCAGAGGCUCAU